CCUACGGGGCGCAGCAGUGGGGGAUAUUGCACAAUGGGGGGAACCCUGAUGCAGCGACGCCGCGUGGGUGAAGAAGCGCCUCGGUACGUAAAGCUCUAUCAGCAGGGAAGAAAAUGACGGUACCUGACUAAGAAGCCCCGGCUAACUACGUGCCAGCAGCCGCGGUAAUACGUAGGGGGCAAGCGUUAUCCGGAUUUACUGGGUGUAAAGGGAGCGUAGACGGCAGCGCAAGUCUGGAGUGAAAUGCCGGGGCCCAACCCCGGAACUGCUUUGGAAACUGUGCAGCUCGAGUGCAGGAGAGGUAA
rnacentral:rRNA from 1 species